GAUCUAGCCAUGCCGCGUGAGUGAUGAAGGCCCUAGGGUCGUAAAGCUCUUUUCGCCAGGGAUGAUAAUGACAGUACCUGGUAAAGAAACCCCGGCUAACUCCGUGCCAGCAGCCGCGGUAAUACGGAGGGGGUUAGCGUUGUUCGGAAUUACUGGGCGUAAAGCGCGCGUAGGCGGAUCAGAAAGUUGGGGGUGAAAUCCCGGGGCUCAACCCCGGAACUGCCUCCAAAACUCCUGGUCUUGAGUUCGAGAGAGGUGAGUGGAAUUCCGAGUGUAGAGGUGAAAUUCGUAGAUAUUCGGAGGAACACCAGUGGCGAAGGCGGCUCACUGGCUCGAUACUGACGCUGAGGUGCGAAAGUGUGGGGAGCAAACAGGAUUAGAUACCCUGGUAGUCCACACCGUAAACGAUGAAUGCCAGUCGUCGGGUAGCAUGCUAUUCGGUGACACACCUAACGGAUUAAGCAUUCCGCCUGGGGAGUACGGUCGCAAGAUUA
rnacentral:rRNA from 1 species